ACUACGGGAGGCAGCAGUGAGGAAUAUUGGUCAAUGGACGCAAGUCUGAACCAGCCAUGCCGCGUGCAGGAAGACGGCUCUAUGAGUUGUAAACUGCUUUUGUACGAGGGUAAAUCCCGAUACGUGCAUCCGGUUGCAAGUAUCGUACGAAUACGGAUCGGCUAACUCUGUGCCAGCAGCCGCGGUAAUACGGAGGAUUCAAGCGUUAUCCGGAUUUAGUGGGUUUAAAGGGUGCGUAGGCGGUUCGGUAAGUUAGAGGUGAAAACCCGGGGCUCAACUCCGGCACUGCCUCUGAUACUGUCGAGCUAGAGUUUAGUAGAGGUAGGCGGAAUGUAUGGGGUAGCGGUGAAAUGCAGAGAGAUCAUGCAGAACACCGAUUGCGAAGGCAGCUUACCAAACUACGACUGACGUUGAGGCACGAAAGCGUGGGGAGCAAACAGGAUUAGAUACCCGGGUAGUC
rnacentral:rRNA from 1 species